UGGGGGCCACCAGCCGCGCUUAACUGUUAAUUAAGAGAUUAUCAUACUUGAUCCAG
rnacentral:tRNA from 1 species